GAAUAAAAGUUUGUGAAGUUUGGCUAGAUAUUUGUUUCGAUAGAGAUUGGGUCAGUUCAAAAUUGGUUGAAAAAGAGAAAAUGUUCUUAGACAAUUAGGAUCCAUCAAAGGCCUUAAAUUACUUACACUCCUUGGAUUUCUAGUAAAUCUUUGUGUCGAUGCAAGUGAAUUAGAAACAACUGUAUCUUGAUUAUUAGUAGAUGAGUUUUUAAGUCGUAUUUUCCUUAAAAACGCUUUUUGUUAACACCAACGAAAUUAGAGU
rnacentral:lncRNA from 1 species